ACUACGGGAGGCAGCAGUGAGGAAUAUUGGUCAAUGGGCGUAAGCCUGAACCAGCCAAGUCGCGUGAGGGAUGAAGGUUCUAUGGAUCGUAAACCUCUUUUAUAAGGGAAUAAAGUGUGGGACGUGUCCUGUUUUGUAUGUACUUUAUGAAUAAGGAUCGGCUAACUCCGUGCCAGCAGCCGCGGUAAUACGGAGGAUCCGAGCGUUAUCCGGAUUUAUUGGGUUUAAAGGGGGCGUAGGCGGCUUUUAAGUCAGCGGUGAAAGUCUGCGGCUCAACCAUUAAAUUGCAGUUGAUACUGGGAGGCUUGAGUAUAUUUGAGGCAGGCGGAAUGCGUGGUGUAGCGGUGAAAUGCUUAGAUAUCACGCAGAACCCCGAUUGCGAAGGCAGCUUGCCAAGCUGUGACUGACGCUGAUGCACGAAAGCGUGGGGAUCAAACAGGAUUAGAUACCCCUGUAGUC
rnacentral:rRNA from 1 species